rnacentral:lncRNA from 10 species
GGGCGCAGGCGCCGAGAGGCGCACGGGAGACCUCAGGCCCAGACUCCACUCCCCAGCUGUGAAAGGACUGCUGGCCAGACCCCCAAGCUAGCCCGCCAGGCCUCCAUAGAGCUGCCCAGCAUGGCUGCGUCCAGUACCAAGAGUUGGUGGGAGACGGGUGAAGUACAGGCUCAGUCUGCGGCCAAGACUCCAUCCUGCAAGAUGGACUCUGUGACUACAUGACUAAUAAAAUAUGGCAGAAAUGACACCAUGCAGUUUCCAAGCCCAGGCCUUAGGAGACAGGCAGCUUCCAGUUCAGUCUUUUGGAGGGUCAGCUCUGGGGCCCUCAGCCAUCACGCAUGGAGUCCAACCACCCUGAGACGUCAUGCUGGAGACCCACCUGUGGAUGCCCCAGUCAAGAGUCCUGGCUGAGCCCAGCCUCCCAGCCACCCCCACCCAAGGCAUCAGACCACGAAGCUUCUGGCCAAGGCUUCACCAACUUCACUUGAUGCUGUGAGGAACAGAACUGCCCAUCCAAGCCCUGCCAGAAUUUCUAACCCACAAAGCCAUGAGUCACAAUAAAUGCCAUGGGACAAAAACAGUCAUGCAUGUUGCUUUUGUCAUACAUUAGUGGUAGUUCAUCGCACGGCAAUAGAAAACCAAAAUACCUGUCUACUGGGUUCGUCCAUUUGGAUGCCACAGAGGCACCUGAAACAGAACACGUUCAUUACUUAACUCUGGUUCUUCCUUCCACACUGACCUCCACCCACUGCUCCCAAGGUUGCCCCUCCUCCAGAGUCCUCCAUCUCCAACAUAGUAUCACCAUCUCCCCAGGAACUCAAGUGUGAAGGCAGGGGUCAUGUUUGGCAUCUGUCACCCUUUGCGAGUUGCAACCUGGAGACCCUGGAGGGUGUUAUGAUGAGUGAAAUAACCUAAUCACAAAAGGACUAAUACUCCACAAAUUCACUUAUAUGAGGAGUCUAGGAGUCAAAUUCCUAGAGACUGAAAGAACGGUGGUUGUCAGGGGCUGGGGAGAAUGGGGAGUUCAUAUUUAAUGGGGGCAGAGUUUCAGUUUUGCCAGAUGAGAAUAACCUGGAAAUGGAUGGUGUGAUGUUUGCACAAUGUGAACGUACUUUACUCCACUAUACAUUUGAAAGUGGGUGCAAUGGAAAAGUUUAUGUGAUGAGUUUUUUACCACAAUUAAAAAUAUAACAAAA